CCUACGGGAUGCAGCAGUAGGGAAUCUUCGGCAAUGGACGAAAGUCUGACCGAGCAACGCCGCGUGAGUGAAGAAGGUUUUCGGAUCGUAAAACUCUGUUGGUAGAGAAGAACGUUGGUGAGAGUGGAAAGCUCAUCAAGCGACGGUAACUACCCAGAAAGGGACGGCUAACUACGUGCCAGCAGCCGCGGUAAUACGUAGGUCCCGAGCGUUGUCCGGAUUUAUUGGGCGUAAAGCGAGCGCAGGUGGUUUAUUAAGUCUGGUGUAAAAGGCAGUGGCUCAACCAUUGUAUGCAUUGGAAACUGGUAGACUUGAGUGCAGGAGAGGAGAGUGGAAUUCCAUGUGUAGCGGUGAAAUGCGUAGAUAUAUGGAGGAACACCGGUGGCGAAAGCGGCUCUCUGGCCUGUAACUGACACUGAGGCUCGAAAGCGUGGGGAGCAAACAGGAUUAGAUACCCCAGUAGUC
rnacentral:rRNA from 1 species